AUCUACACCUAAAAAAUAAAUAUUAAAAAAGAAUUAUUUAUCUAUACAAAAUUAAUAGUAUGCCUCUGAAUUCAGUGUAUAUUGUCAUCUUUAUUGAUUUAUCUCAGUGCCUAAAGUAAGGUCACUUCUCUUUGGGGGAACUAGACUUUUAUAGAGCCAUCCAGCUUCAGUUUUCUUUGUUCUUAAAUCUAUUCUAUCAGUAUGGUAGCAGGGUACUUUUUCUCUAGAUCAGGAAUAUUUUAGAUCAUCUCCUAUUCAAAAUAGUCAUGUUUUGGGACAUUUUAAUGCUGAAUUAAUAAGCAAUAACCCAGUAUUCUCUCUAGUUUCCUAGCCUUUCUAAUGAUUUGUGGUUUUUUUUCCCCUUUCUUUUCUGGUCCCUAACUAUUCAUACAUUGAUUCAGUAAACUUAACAUCUGCUUUGCCACAGAGGUCAUGGGAAGGAGAGGCAGCUCUGCAAAUGAAAUGUAGUAUGGUAGGGACUCUAAUAGAGAUAUGUUCAAGGUGCUUCUUUUGGUAACUUGGAGGGUAGUCCCCAAAGUUCAGUCACUAGUAAUGUUUUUCUUCCUUUGUUCUGCAUCAUUUUUUAAGUUCAGACAGUUUUUCUGCUUUUAAACUUUAUCAUUUCUAUGCUGAUGAGACUUAUUUUUCCUUCUCUAUUACAAAUGUAUCUCCUAAACUCCAGUGGAAUGGCUUUGUCAGUAAUACUAUUCUAUUUAUGAGUUCCUCUGUAAUAUGUGUGACUAAAAUGGGGUUCAUAUUCUGGAAACUGACUUGUAUUGCUUGUUCCACUCCUUCUAGUAAUAUAACACUCUUAUAUUCUUUAGGAUUAGAAAUCUUGGCUUUUUGAGGGGCAGGGUUUUCUCUUCUGUGUUAUCUUUUUUUUUAAUAUUUAUUUUUUAGUUUUAGAUGGACACAAUAUCUUUAUUUAUUUUUAUGUGGUGCUGAGGAUUGAACCCAGUGCCUCACGCAUGCCAGGCGAGCACGCUAUCACUUGAGCCACAUCCCGAGCCCCUUUCCUAUAUUAUCUAAUUGAAUUUUUUGUUAAUUUUGCCUUUUAUAAUACAGGAUUAUUACUUAUUAAUUUUUAAAUAGCUUCAUGUUCCUUCUAUAAUGAUGUCUGAUUUGCUUAUUAGAAUAAAAAAACCUCAGACCAUAUUUGGUGCCUUCUGUCAAUGAGAAUAAUCCCCUUUGUAGAAUGAUGCCCAUUAAGAGAGAUAAAUUCUUGUGUGUUUAAAAUAUCUCAUUACAUUUAAAUAUAUGCAAUACCAUUAUACAUUGUAUACUUGUCCACUUAUUUAUAAUUCCACUUAUGCAUAUAUUAUUCACUGUGUAGAACUACUUGUCUCACAAAUAUCUACUUAGUGAAACAUAAUUGGUCCUGUUCAUCCCUCUUGCUCAAAUCUGGAGACUACUUUUUAUUAUACCCUUACUGAAGUGAAGAUAAAAAGAGGAGAGAUAAAAUAAGGGAAUAUGGGUGAAAUGGUGGAAAAUUCAUAUUCAUAGGUAUUUAUUUCUUUAAUAUUAAUGGGCAUUGAAUCCAGGGUUUCAUGCACGAUAGGCAAGCACUCUUCUACUGAGCUGUACCCCUACCCCUGUUUAUUCUUUGUAAAAUUUUUUAUUUGUAGAUGGACACAAUACCUUAAUUUUGUUUAUUUAUUUAUUUUUCAAAUGUGGCAUUGAGGAUCGAACCCAGUGCCUCAUGCAUACUAGGCAAGUGUUCUACCACUGAGCCACAAACCCAGCCCCCUUUUUAUUCUUAUGUUAUUUUAAGGAUCUUGCUAAGUUGCCCAGGCUGGCCUUGAACUUGCAAUCUUCCUGCCUCAGACUUCUGAAUAACUGCGAUUACAGGUGUAUACCACUGCACCUGGCAGUCUCUAUUCAUUUUGCUGUUUUUUUUCCUGUCUCUUUUAUUUACAUUAUAUUUAUUUAUUUACCUAUAUUUUGAAAAUAAAUUUUUAUUCCCUUGUUUACUUUUUAUUUUAUUUUGGGGAUUGAACCCAGAGCCUCGUGCAUGCCUAGACAAGUGCUCUACCACUUAGUACAUACUCAGCUCUCCCAUGUUUGUUGAUGUAAUUUAAUUUUAUACAGUUUGGCAUUUUUUUAAUGUUCAAAUGUUUUUGAACAUUAAAAAAAAAACAUUUCCAAGUUGGAACUUUUUGUUUUCAAAAUACUAUAUAAGAAUACUAGUCCUUGUAAUUAGGAAGGACUUCUUUGCUGUUAAUAUAUGAUUAUAUGGUUAUGAUAGUUCCAUCUUUAUCUCUUCCCUAUAGUUUAGCUUCUGGUGUCAAAGAGACUCUUUUCCCCUAAAUUUAAUUUUGGUGUCUUAUAAUUUGUUGGGAAAGGGUGCUUUUAAUAGAGAAGUUGACAGGACCACAUUUGAGUGAGACUGACUUUUUCUUUUCUCUUCCUUUCUUUCCCUUCCUCUCCUCCCUCUCCCUGCUUUAUCUCUCUCUCCCCACAACCCCCCUUUCCUUCUUGUACCAGGUAUUGAACCCAGUGGCACUUAACCAUUGAGACAUAUCCUUA
rnacentral:lncRNA from 1 species